CAAGGUCAACUCCCCCUGCAUUCCAUCUGGCUGUCCCGGUCCAGCUCUGAGACGUCUGAGGAGCUUCUUAGCUCCUCUCUCUCUCCGGUGCUGCAUGUCCAAAACUGCUCUCCAAAAUAGGAGUCCAUGUCCCUCUUCUCCAAGAGGGGUCUCAAGGGAGUUUUAGGGGAUCUGGUACAGUCUUACCCCCAGAACUCUGUUUUUCAGGCUGCUGGCUCUCUUUCUCCUCGGCUCUCCUUCCAGGAGAGUCUUCUCUACAGUGCUGCAUGUUGCUUCUGCUGCUCCUUCAGUUCAGGUCCUUAUCAGUCCUGGCUCUCUGCCACCGUUUCUCUGGUCAGUGCCUGCUGCUGUUCUGCGCCCAUGGAGAAAACAUUCUCCCGGCAUAACUACAGGCACCUAGCCCAGCUUUAUGCUGUUCCAGGUCCCUGCAGCCCCCCAGCCAGGGGCUGGGAGGGCCCAGAGGGCCCAAGGGGCUUAGAGCCCCUUCCUCAUGGCUCACAACAUGGCCACCACUUCUACAACAACAACCAAACUACAACUCAUCUCUUCCGGUCUGGUUGUGAUAU